AGCUUUUUGAUUUUUAUAAAAAGUGACGCCUGCCCAGUGAUUUAUUCAACGGCCGCGGUAUUUUGACCGUGCAAAGGUAGCAUAAUAAUUUGUCUUUUAAUUGAAGACUAGAAUGAAUGGCAUUACAUUUUCUAACUGUCUCCCUAUAAUUACUUUAAAAUUUUUAUUCAAGUGAAGAAACUUGAAUAACAAAGUAAGACGAGAAGACCCUGUCGAGCUUUAACUAAAUAACAUUUUUAAAAAAUAAUUUUAUUAAGUUUUGGUUGGGGCAACCAUGGAGAAAACCCAUCCUCCAGAAAAUUAAGCAGAAAUCUCUUCUCUUAAUAAACUAAAAGAACCAAUUAUUUUGGUAUACGGAAAAAGUUACCGCAGGGAUAACAGCGUAAUCUUCUUUGAGAGCCCUUAUUGACAAGAAGGUUUGCGACCUCGAUGUUGGAUUGGGGCACCCAAAAAGUGCAGCCGCUUUUAAAGGUUGGACUGUUCGUCCAUUAAAGUCCU
rnacentral:rRNA from 1 species